GAGAGAGCUAGGUGAGAGAGAAAGAGGCGGAGGGAGAAGAGAGAGCUAGGUGAGAGAGAAAGAGGCGGAGGAAGAAGAGAGAGCUAGGUGAGAGAGAAAGAGGUGGAGGGAGAAGAGAGAGCUAGGUGAGAGAGAAAGAGGCGGAGGGAGAAGAGAGAGCUAGGUGAGAGAGAAAGAGGCGGAGGGAGAAGAGAGCUAGGUGAGAGAGAGAGACGGAGGGAGAAGAGAGAGCUAGGUGAGAGAGAGAGACGGAGGGAGAAGAGAGAGCUAGGUGAGAGAGAAAGAGGCGGAGGGAGAAGAGAGAGCUAGAUGAGAGAGAAAGAGGCGGAGGGAGACGAGAGAGCUAGGUGAGAGAGAAAGAGGCGGAGGGAGAAGAGAGCUAGGUGAGAGAGAAAGAGGCGGAGGGAGAAGAGAGAGCUAGGUGAGAGAGAAAGAGGCAGAUGGAGAAGAGAGAGCUAGGUGAGAGAGAAAGAGGCGGAGGGAGAAGAGAGAGCUAGGUGAGAGAGAAAGAGGCAGAGGGAGAAGAGAGAGCUAGGGGAGAGAGAAAGAGGCGGAGGGAGAAGAGAGCUAGGUGAGAGAGAGAGAGGCGGAGGGAGAAGAGAG
ensembl:lncRNA